CCCAGUGUGGCAUAGUGGUUUGAGUGUUGGACUACAACUCUGGAGACCAGAGUUCAAUUCCCUGCUGGCC